GCCGCCCCUCGCGCCCUGGUGGCUAGGGGCGCACAUGGGGCCUGGCCAGGUGGGCGACGGCGCGAAUCCGUAGGGUCGUGUCCCCCCAGUCCAGUCCCUGGUACUAAGCCCGGAGCUGCCGGAGGUCAUGCAGCCUUUCCGCGCCCAGGUGAAACCGCCUUUGCAAAAUGAUGACUGAAACAGUGAAAGAGAUCUAACUCAGCCGACUCUAUCUUGCUUCUAACCUCCAAGCUGUCCUUAUUCAUCCCUGCUGGUCUCUGGCUGGUGCUGUGUGAAGCACAGGCUGUGCAAUGUAGAGGUGGAGACAGAGAGGCCAGCGGGGAACACAUAGUGACCCAUAGGUAUGUAUGGGGCAGGUAUGUAUGAGGCAGGUAUGUACGGGGCAGGUAUGGACGGGGCAGUAUGUACGGGGCAGGUAUGUACGGGGCAGGUAUGUAGGGGGCAGGUAUGUAGGGGGCAGGUAUGGACGGGGCAGGUAUGGACGGGGCAGGUAUGGACGGGGCAGGUAUGGACGGGGUAGGUAUGGACGGGGUAGGUAUGUAGGGGGCAGGUAUGUAGGGGGCAGGUAUGUAGGGGGCAGGUAUGUAGGGGGCAGGUAUGUAAGGGGCAGGUAUGUAAGGGGCAGGUAUGUAAGGGGCAGGUAUGGACGGGGCAGGUAUGGACAGGGCAGGUAUGUAGGGGGCAGGUAUGUAGGGAGCAGGUAUGGACAGGGCAGGUAUGUAUGGGGUGGGUAUGUAUGGGGUGGGUAUGUAUGGGGCGGGUAUGUAUGGGGCAGGUAUUUACAGAGCACCUCCUGCAUACCAGGCUCUUGGUGGCAGCUGUGGCCCCGCCCAGGGCCUCUGCCUGCCUGGAGUCUGUCCAGGGAGAUGAACACACACCAG
rnacentral:lncRNA from 10 species